rnacentral:rRNA from 1 species
AACGAACGCUGGCGGCAGGCCUAACACAUGCAAGUCGAGCGCCCUUUCGGGGGAGCGGCGGACGGGUGAGUAACGCGUGGGAAUAUGCCCUUCUCUACGGAAUAGCCUCGGGAAACUGAGAGUAAUACCGUAUACGCCCUGUGGGGGAAAGAUUUAUAGGGGAAGGAUUAGCCCGCGUUGGAUUAGGUAGUUGGUGGGGUAAUGGCCUACCAAGCCGACGAUCCAUAGCUGGUUUGAGAGGAUGAUCAGCCACACUGGGACUGAGACACGGCCCAGACUCCUACGGGAGGCAGCAGUGGGGAAUCUUAGACAAUGGGGGCAACCCUGAUCUAGCCAUGCCGCGUGAGUGAUGAAGGCCUUAGGGUUGUAAAGCUCUUUCAGCUGGGAAGAUAAUGACGGUACCAGCAGAAGAAGCCCCGGCUAACUCCGUG